ACCGCCGUAACUCAGUGGACAGAGUGCCUGGCUACGAACCAGAUGGUCGGGAGUUCGAAUCUCUCCGGCGGUA
rnacentral:tRNA from 1 species